rnacentral:ncRNA from 1 species
UCCUUGAUUAUGGUAGGCAGCGCAUGCCUCUGGCGUGAUUCGGCAUCUGCGCGCUCUGGACGCUGGCCUGUGGGCUUUCCAUUCGAUCCGUUUGGAAACACGGACCAGGGAGUCUGUCAUGUGUGCGUGUCAACGGGCUAGUAAACUCAUAAGGGGUAAGGAAGCUGAUUGGUGGGAUCCUUCUGAGGGGUGCACCGCCGACCGACGAUGAUCUUCUGAGAAGGGUUCGAGUGUG